GAUGAACGCUGGCGGCGUGCCUAAUACAUGCAAGUCGAGCGAACGGACGAGAAGCUUGCUUUUCUGAUGUUAGCGGCGGACGGGUGAGUAACACGUGGAUAACCUACCUAUAAGACUGGGAUAACUUCGGGAAACCGAGGCUAAUACCGGAUAAUAUUUUGAACCGCAUGGUUCAAAAGUGAAAGACGGUCUUGCUGUCACUUAUAGAUGGAUCCGCGCUGCAUUAGCUAGUUGGUAAGGUAACGGCUUACCAAGGCAACGAUGCAUAGCCGACCUGAGAGGGUGAUCGGCCACACUGGAACUGAGACACGGUCCAGACUCCUACGGGAGGCAGCAGUAGGGAAUCUUACGCAAUGGGCGAAAGCCUGACGUAGCAACGCCGCGUGAGUGAUGAAGGUCUUCGGAUCGUAAAACUCUGUUAUUAGGGAAGAACAUAUGUGUAAGUAACUGUGCACAUCUUGACGGUACCUAAUCAGAAAGCCACGGCUAACUACGUG
rnacentral:rRNA from 1 species